GUACUGUUUCCUGAAAUUCUUUGGAUAAUGGUAUGGAAAGUUCAUGGAUGCCAGCGCCAGCACAGGGUUGGGGAAUAGAAUAACUCCAAGAGAAUAUUUUAAUGAAAAUU